CUCUGAGUUGCUUGAGUCACAUUUUUGCAUGGUUCUUGAUUGACUUUCUGGUGCUCUGCCUGGAGGUCUUUGCUUAUCUGUGAGUUGCCUGAGUCACAUUUUUACAUGGUUCUGGUGCUCUGCCUGCAGGUCAAGAAGGAGCCAGUAUCUCCAGGAGGAGUGAGAGAGUGCUCUGCCAGUGUGAAGUGUGAAUCCUUGAGAGGCUGUGGCAAGGGUCCAUGCCUGAAUGUGUAGAACAAGAACAGCUGGAGGCUGUGGCUUUCUCCAGGAAGAGGUUUCUAAAUCUGCCUCUUAGAAGAUAUCAGAAAGUUAAAGUUUCUCUUGCUGCCGCCGUGUAAGAAGGACCUUUUGCCUCCCACCAUGAUUCUAAGUCCUCCCCAGCCACGUGGAACUGCUUUCAUUUGGUCUCUUUUCGAAUCAGAAGACCCAGAAAACUUGGAUCCACUUCUGGCUCUCAUCCCUCUGGGCAGUGUGAUUUGGAGUACCGCUUUGCAGUCUGGCAGCUUUCCUAUUGCACUCCGAGGACAAGCUGAACGCCUCGCUCGGAUCUACGAGGCCUGUGUGGGAAUCCCGCUUCCACUGGCUUCAUUCCCUACUAGGCAUCCACCCCACUCCACGAGGCUGCCAUCCCUGACUUCCUCCAACACAUCAGGCCUUCCUCAGGGAACUUGCCUAUGCCUGUUCUUCUUCUUCUUUUUUUAUACGGAGUCUCGCUGUCUCCAGGCUGGAGUGCAGUGGUGUGAUCUCGGCUCACUGCAAGCUCCGCCUCCUGGGUUCACGCCAUUCUCCUGCCUCAGCCUCCCGAGUAGCUGGGACUACAGGCACCUGCCACCACGCCCAGCUAAUUUUUUGUAUUUUUAGUAGAGACGGGGUUUCACCGUGUUAGCCAGGAUGGUCUCGAUCUCCUGACCUCAUGAUCCGCCCGCCUCGGCCUCCCAAGCCUGUUCUUCUUAAAUAUCUGCCUAGGCUAAGUGUGGCGGCUCACGCCUGUAAUCGCAGCACUUUGGGAGGCCCAAGUGGGUGGAUCACUUGAGGCCAGGAAUUCGAGACCAGCCUGGCAAACAUGGCGAAACCCUGUCUCUAUUAAGGAUACAAAAAUUAAUCAGGUGUGGUGGUGCAUGCCUGUAGCUCCAGCUACUCGGGAGGCUGAGGCACGAAAAUUGUUUGAACCCAGGAGGCAGAGGUUUCAAUGGGCAGAGACCGUGCCACUGCACUCCAGCCUGGGUGUCAGAGCGAGACUCUGUCUCAAAUAAAUAAAUAAAUAAAUAAAUAAAUAUCUGCCUAGAUAAUUCCUUUACCUCUUUUCUCCUUUAAGUGUCUGCUUGAAUGUCAUCUUAUUAGUGACCCUUAGCCACCGUUUUAAAGUAGCAGCCCUUCUCCACCUGGGCACUCCCUGUUCCCCUUACCCUGUCUGGUUUUCUCUUUGUAGCCCUUAUCACUACUUGACCUAGGAGCUCUUUAUUUGUUUAUUGUCAGAUUUCUGCACUGGGAUGUGAGUUCUAUGAGGACAGAUGUGUUUGACUGUCUUGCUUACGGAUGUAUCCCCAGGAACUAGAACAGUGCCUGGCAUACAGUAGGUGCUCAAUAAAUGUGUUGAAUAAAUACAUAAAUAAGAAGUCAGAUUUGUUUUGUUAGGCACAAUGCCCAGUGGCCCUUCAGAAGCUGCCUUAUUUAUGCUUCCAGUGACGCUGUUCAAGGAAUGUAUUGUUCUCAUUGUUUUACAAAUGACAGCACUGAGGCAGAGACCAGAGGUGAACAGGGGCACAGAGCUGGUAAGUGAUGCAGUCAGGAGUUAUGUCCAGUUCCUUUGACCUUGGUGUCGCCAUUCUGCAUGGCUAAGAUGAGAUGGGGAGGGAGGCGUCAACAGGAUGCCGGGGCUUCCAGGUUCUGGAAGAUGGAAGAGCGUCAGAAGCACUGACAGAAAUGCAAAUGCUGGGAAGAAGGCCAGAGCUUCAGAAAAAGAAGUAGCUGAGGGAGGAAAUGUUGGAUCAAGUAAAUAUUCAGGAAGAAAAUCCUGCUUUUAAGGAGAAUGACUAAAUAAUAUAUUGUCCAAGACCCCUGUGAGAGUGAAAGUGCG
rnacentral:lncRNA from 1 species